AACUUAUUCAAUUAACAGAUAAUAUCUAAUUCAAAAUGAUGAAAUUCAUUGUUAUCUUAUCAAUCGCCGUAAUGGGAGUGAUUGGUGAAUAAAUAGAAAACAAGACUGAUGAUUCGAUGAUACUGGACCCGGUAAAUUUGAUAAAACCUUCAUGUAUUGGAAGAUGCCCUAUUACAAACACUAAUCCCUGGUCACCGAUUUACUUCCGCCACACGUAUUGUGAUCAGUAUUGAAUGUGUUUGGUCAGUUACAUGGUAAUAGGAAAGUGUCCUGACGGAAUGCGAUUCUCAAAUUCAUUCAGCAAAUGUCAAGUAAUCACA